ensembl:lncRNA
GUCCAUAAAAAAAUGAAAUGUAUGUAUCCACAGAGUCUAAGGUGGCAUAUUUGUCACUUUCACUAGAAGUGAAACAAAUAAAGCUGCACUCUCUGUGGUGGUGGUGGUGGUGGUGGUGGUGGGGUUUCCUGUGAGUCGGGGAGUGCGCGCAGAGAAUCCGAGCACUACAGUACAUAGGAAAUGACUCAUAGGAGUUGAACUGUUAGCGUGGGUGUGUGCGCUAUUAAAACAAGGCGCAGACUCCUCCGGAUGACUCACACUGAUGCUCGCUUUUCCAUGCUGAAAACCAGCACGGAUUGUUAAUCAGAUGAACUUUCGGGAAUUGUGUAGCCGACAGCGAGCAGCUUUCCACCCGCAGACAUGAUGGCUUCACACGCUCUUUGCGCGCUCUGCGGACUUAUUAUAGCGGCUGUGACCAGUCUCCACGGCGUGAGCGCACAGAAAAGUCAGUGUGGCAGCUCAGAGUUUUGGAACUCAGACUUGGACGUUUGUGUGCCCUGUGCAUCGUGCAAGCAGUACCCCAAGACCCCAUCAUGCAACACGUGUAAAUCUGUGAACGAGACGUCCGACGUGUGGAAGCUGGCAGCCAUCACAAGCUUCUCAGUGCUGGCUGUCGUGCUGGUGGGUGCUGCGUUGAUUAUCGGGGUCAUGGUGCAUCGACGCAAAUCUCACAAACGGCCUCUACGUGAACCCAUUGAAGAAACUGCAGGGCCACUUUAUCAAGCUUAAACAGUUCACCUCGUCUUCCUCUGGAUGUGACAGAACCACGGAGCGACUGGUUAGCAGCCGGGCGGGGAGGAAACUCUUAACUGCAGGGUACACCUCGGCCUGAAAUCGGACCAUUUAUUAAGUUAUUAGACUGUUCGGUGAAGAGAUGCUCUGAUGCUCGCCCACCAGUGACCACAGGACAUCCUGUAGGAUUAGUAACAGCAUUAUACUAUCACCUUUAGAACUGAUGUGCCUUGUUUUUUUUUUUUUUUUAAAUAUUACACUUAAUUAAUUAAGAUCUGGACGAGCUCUGCAGAUGUGUGACUGGGAUAAGACUUACAGUCUGUGCUCCUGCAUUGUGUUGUGCUGUUUAGCAGCAGGGCUCCAGUGAAUGUAACACAGCCAUGGCUGCCAGCUGGGCUGCAGUUUGGUCCCCUGUGUGGUUAGACGGGGUCUCUGUUUGUCAGUUACCACAACAGCUUCUCUCAGAUAAAUCACAUGUGAGUGAGACACAUUGUUCAGCACAUUAAGGCCAUUUGAAUGUAGCUACUUUUAAUGAAAUGUACCUAUGCCUUUGUCCCUGCCAGUACCUCCCGUGUACCUGUUCUAAUAGUAGCCUGAUCCAGUGAUGAAAGCUGUUGAUUAAGGGAGCAAACUGUACUCAUGCACUGUUACUGGGUCUCCAGAGACCAAUGCAGACGUUUCAUUGCAGGUCAUAACAAUAUUAUUUAGUCUGUUACUAUUGUUACUUAGGAUUUAGCAGAAUUUUAGAUGGAGUUUUGUCUUUUACACCCCCUGAAUUCACAUCACUGUCCCAGCACUCGGGGAGGACAGGAUGCCUGAAACACUAGACAUGCAAUCCCAAACUGCUAACAUGUGGGAAUGCUGCGAGGAAUGUACUGUAGUGAGGGGAAAUUACCUACAGUGUUUAAGGUGGAGCUUCACAACACAGUGCAAACCCUGACCUGAAAAAUAUCUGCAGAUCUGCAACACACACACACACGAAAGAUGUUUGUAAUUGUGUUGUCAGUGAAAACAGCAAGAAACACAGUGGACAGUAGAGCCAGACUGAUAGUGGAGCUUCAUAAGCCAAUUACAGAGGAAAAAAAUUCUCACAUAUGUACAGACACACAUGACUAGCUGAAGGUGGCCAGCUACCUCACUAACCUAGCAUACAAAUACAGCAGCUGUAUUGUAAAAGGAAAAACAAGAGGUCAGCGCUCUCCUUCUUCAGUGAUGCAUCCUCAUGUGUGAGAGCAUCAUCAUGCUACACACACUGUUUACACAGACAGACGUUUCAUAUCGGUGCAUAUCAUCAAAUAUACUAACACGUCUGUAAUGUUGGCUGUCAGUCGGACUCUAUUGGACACUUUUUUAUAGAUAUAUAUAUGUAUUUUUUUGUUUUGUUAUCCGACCAUCACACACAGUGCCUGAGGAUUGUUUUGAUGUCACUGACAAUGUUUCAGGUCAUGCUUCAGAUCUGUCUGCUUAUGAGUAAACCGAUUUCAAAGUUAGGGAAUCAUUUAACACAUGGAUACUUUUUUUUUUUUUUUAUAUGUUUAUAUUAUUUAUUUUUAAGUAUCUUGCAGUGUUGUAAUGCAUCAACUGAGGGACAAGCACAUGUUUUUUUUUUUUUUUUUUUUUUAAAAAGGGACUCCAGUGAAGAUUUCUUUGUUAAAACUUCCACCAGGCCAGCCGUUGAUGUUACUGAGCAAUAACUAACUUUCUGCCUCCCCCCCCCCCCCUCCUAUUGGCUUGUAGUUACUGUUGUAAAUACUGUACAUGCACUGGCUUCUUUUACUUUAUGCAAUCUCAUUAGUAACUGCUUUGUGUACCAAAUGUAUUUUCACAAUAAAACUGACAACGUUCUUAAAUAAUU